rnacentral:rRNA from 1 species
UAAAACUAUUAUUCUUGAGUGCAGGAGAGGGAAGCGGAAUUCCUAGUGUAGCGGUGAAAUGCGUAGAUAUUAGAGGGAACACCAGUGGCGAAGGCGGCUUUCUGGACUGUAACUGACGUUGAGGCACGAAAGUGUGGGGAGCAAACAGGAUUAGAUACCCUGGUAGUCCACACCGUAAACGAUGGAUACUAGGUGUAGGAGAUGAUUUCAUCAUCUGUGCCGAAAGCAAACGCAAUAAGUAUCCCACCUGGGGAGUACGGCCGCAAGGUUGAAACUCAAAGGAAUUGACGGGGGCCCGCACAAGCAGUGGAGUAUGUGGUUUAAUUCGAAGCAACGCGAAGAACCUUACCAGGGCUUGACAUAUACAGGAAUAUCAUAGAGAUAUGAUAGCUUUUCGGAGUCUGUAAACAGGUGGUGCAUGGUUGUCGUCAGCUCGUGUCGUGAGAUGUUGGGUUAAGUCCCGCAACGAGCGCAACCCUUGUGAUUAGUUGCCAGCACGUAGAGGUGGGAACUCUAAUCAGACUGCCGGUGAUAAAUCGGAGGAAGGUGGGGACGACGUCAAAUCAUCAUGCCCUUUAUGUCCUGGGCUACACACGUACUACAAUGGUCGUAACAAAGAGAAACGAAACAGUGAUGUAGAGUGAAACUUAAAAAGCGAUCUCAGUUCGAAUUGAAGGCUGAUAUUCGCCUUCAUGAAGUCGGAAUUGCUAGUAAUGGCAGGUCAGCAUACUGCCGUGAAUACGUUCCCGGGCCUUGUACACACCGCCCGUCACACCAUGAGAGUUGGAGAUACCCGAAGCCUAUGAGCUAACUUUAAGAGGCAGUAGUCGAAGGUAGAAUCAAUGAUUGGGGUGAAGUCGUAACAAAGGUAGCCGUAGCC